rnacentral:rRNA from 1 species
UCAGACGAUGCGUCAUGCAUAUCAAUAAGCGGAGGAAAAGAAACUAACAAGGAUUCCCUUAGUAACGGCGAGUGAAGCGGGAAGAGCUCAAAUUUGAAAUCUUCAAGGUUUUACCUUGACGAAUUGUAGUUUAAAGAAGUGUUUUCUGCUGAAGUUUUGGUAAAAGUUCUUUGGAAUAGGACAUCAUAGAGGGUGAGAAUCCCGUAUUUGACCAUUAUUUUCAGCCUUGUGAUACACUUUCAAAGAGUCGGAUUGUUUGGGAAUGCAGUCCAAAAUGGGUGGUAAAUUUCAUCUAAAGCUAAAUAUUGGCGAGAGACCGAUAGCGAACAAGUACCGUGAGGGAAAGAUGAAAAGAACUUUGAAAAGAGAGUUAAACAGUACGUGAAAUUGUCAAAAGGGAAGCGUUUGACACCAGUGUUGUUUUCUCGAAAAUCAAUUAAAAAUGGCUCGAUUUUGUAUUGCUGAGACCUUAAAAGCUCACUGUACAUUUUUCGUGUCUUUUUUAAUGCACUUUUCGUUUAACAAGUCAACAUCAGUUUCUUUUGUUGUAAAAGGGUCAUUGGAAGGUGGCUUUCUUUUCGGAGAAAGUGUUUAUAGCCUCUUGGCCUAUGCAAUCGAAGAGAUUGAGGUCUGCAGCGUAGAUCCUUCGGGGUUAGAUACAUUUGUGCUAAGUUAUAGCUUUUUAUAGACAACUUGUUGACUAUAAUUAGUCUUGUAGCUUACUCGCUUAUGCUAUUUUACCUACGCUUAGGAUGUUGACUGAUAUGUAGUCGU